rnacentral:rRNA from 1 species
GUUGACCUCGGAUCAGGUAGGGAUACCCGCUGAACUUAAGCAUAUCAAUAAGCGGAGGAAAAGAAACCAACAGGGAUUGCCCUAGUACGGNNGGGGGAAAGGGGNCAAA